GGAUCCCUGGCAGCUUGCUGUCGGGGUGAGAGUGGCGAACGGGUGAGUAAUGCGUGACCAACCUGCCCUGUGCACCGGAAUAGCUCCUGGAAACGGGUGGUAAUACCGGAUGCUCCGCUCCAUCGCAUGGUGGGGUGGGAAAUGCUUUUGCGGCAUGGGAUGGGGUCGCGUCCUAUCAGCUUGUUGGCGGGGUGAUGGCCCACCAAGGCGUUGACGGGUAGCCGGCCUGAGAGGGUGACCGGCCACAUUGGGACUGAGAUACGGCCCAGACUCCUACGGGAGGCAGCAGUGGGGAAUAUUGCACAAUGGGCGCAAGCCUGAUGCAGCGACGCCGCGUGCGGGAUGGAGGCCUUCGGGUUGUAAACCGCUUUUGUUCAAGGGCAAGGCACGGUUUCGGCCGUGUUGAGUGGAUUGUUCGAAUAAGCACCGGCUAACUACGUGCCAGCAGCCGCGGUAAUACGUAGGGUGCGAGCGUUAUCCGGAUUUAUUGGGCGUAAAGGGCUCGUAGGCGGUUCGUCGCGUCCGGUGUGAAAGUCCAUCGCCUAACGGUGGAUCUGCGCCGGGUACGGGCGGGCUGGAGUGCGGUAGGGGAGACUGGAAUUCCCGGUGUAACGGUGGAAUGUGUAGAUAUCGGGAAGAACAC
rnacentral:rRNA from 1 species